AUUGAACGCUGGCGGCAGGACUAACACAUGCAAGUCGAACGAGUGGCGGACGGGUGAGUAAUGUCUGGGAAACUGCCUGAUGGAGGGGGAUAACUACUGGAAACGGUAGCUAAUACCGCAUACCAUCAGAUGUGCCCAAAUGGGAUUAGCUAGUGGGUGGGGUAACGGCUCACCAAGGCGACGAUCCCUAGCUGGUCUGAGAAGAUGACCAGCCACACUGGAACUGAGACACGGUCCAGACUCCUACGGGAGGCAGCAGUGGGGAACAUUGGACAAGGGGCGAAAGCCUGAUGCAGCCAUCCCGCGUGUAUGAUGAAGGCCUUCGGGUUGUAAAGUACUUUCAGCGGGGAGGCGGUACCCGCAGAAUAAGCACCGGCUAACUCCGUGCCAGCAGCCGCGGUAAUAC
rnacentral:rRNA from 1 species